UACCCUUGUCUUUUGCGCACUUGUUGUUUCCUGGGCGGGUUCGCCCGCCUCCAGGACCACACCAUAAACCUUUUUUAUGCAGUUGCAAUCAGCGUCAGUACAACAAAUGUAAAUCAUUUACAACUUUCAACAACGGAUCUCUUGGUUCUGGCAUCGAUGAAGAACGCAGCGAAAUGCGAUACGUAGUGUGAAUUGCAGAAUUCAGUGAAUCAUCGAAUCUUUGAACGCACAUUGCGCCCUUUGGUAUUCCAAAGGGCAUGCCUGUUCGAGCGUCAUUUGUACCCUCAAGCUUUGCUUGGUGUUGGGCGUUUUUGUCUUUGGUUUGCCAAAGACUCGCCUUAAAACGAUUGGCAGCCGGCCUCCUGGUUACGCAGCGCAGCACAUUUUUGCGCUUGCAAUCAGCAAGAGGGCGGCACUCCAUCAAGACUCCUUCUCACGUUUGACCUCGGAUCAGGUAGGAGUCCCUCCUCC
rnacentral:rRNA from 1 species